rnacentral:rRNA from 1 species
GGGAUUACCUCAGUAACGGCGAGUGAAGCGGUAACAGCUCAAAUUUGAAAGCUAGCUCUUUUAGGGUUCGCAUUGUAAUUUGUAGAAGAUGCUUCGAGUGUGGCCCCGGUCUAAGUUCCUUGGAACAGGACGUCAUAGAGGGUGAGAAUCCCGUAUGUGACUGGGUGCUUUCGCUCAUGUGAGGCUCUUUCGACGAGUCGAGUUGUUUGGGAAUGCAGCUCAAAAUGGGUGGUAAAUUUCAUCUAAAGCUAAAUAUUGGCCAGAGACCGAUAGCGCACAAGUAGAGUGAUCGAAAGAUGAAAAGCACUUUGGAAAGAGAGUUAAACAGUACGUGAAAUUGUUGAAAGGGAAGCGCUUGCAACCAGACUUGCGCGCUGAUGAUCAUCCGGGCUUCUGCCCGGUGCACUCGUCUGCGCUCAGGCCAGCAUCGGUUUCGGUGGUGGGAUAAAGGCCUUGGGAAUGUGGCUCCUCUCGGGGAGUGUUAUAGCCCUCGGUGCAAUGCCGCCUACCGGGACCGAGG